AUUAUAGCUCAGUUGGUAGAGCAAUUGAUUCGUAAUCAAUAGGUCGGGAGUUCGAUUCUCCCUAA
rnacentral:tRNA from 1 species